CAGAAAAAAAAAGUCUUGGCUUUUUACGAGAUGACAAUGAGCAUACGAAGAGGGAAAUGUAAAAGUUUACAUUUCUGAAGAAAUAUAAUCCCUUUGGUGACCAUUGUUUUCCUGUUUUUCUUGCUUCAAAUUCCCCUUUCAGGCCGGCCGCUUCCUACAUGGGGGCCAUUCUGCGGGUGGUUGCGCCGGGCCGAGGGCGAGAGUCUGUGGAGAAAUCUUGGACUUGCGCUCCUUGGCUGUGUCCGCAAGGGAGCACUUUUCACAGCACGCUGCGAAAGAAAGAACAUAUCAGUCAUUUCUUCCACGAGGACCAACCUGCUGCAAUGAGAAGAUGCAAACUUUUUGUUUGUUGUGGGGG